GUGGGGAAUUUUGGACAAUGGGCGCAAGCCUGAUCCAGCAAUGCCGCGUGAGUGAAGAAGGCCUUCGGGUUGUAAAGCUCUUUUGUCAGGGAAGAAACGGUCUUGGUUAAUACCUGGGGCUAAUGACGGUACCUGAAGAAUAAGCACCGGCUAACUACGUGCCAGCAGCCGCGGUAAUACGUAGGGUGCAAGCGUUAAUCGGAAUUACUGGGCGUAAAGCGUGCGCAGGCGGUUGUGCAAGACAGAUGUGAAAUCCCCGGGCUCAACCUGGGAAUUGCAUUUGUGACUGUACGGCUAGAGUGUGUCAGAGGGGGGUAGAAUUCCACGUGUAGCAGUGAAAUGCGUAGAUAUGUGGAGGAAUACCGAUGGCGAAGGCAGCCCCCUGGGAUAACACUGACGCUCAUGCACGAAAGCGUGGGGAGCAAACAGGAUUAGAUACCCGAGUAGUCC
rnacentral:rRNA from 1 species